rnacentral:rRNA from 1 species
UACGUAGGGGGCAAGCGUUGUCCGGAUUUACUGGGCGUAAAGGGCGCGUAGGCGGCGCGGUAAGUCACUUGUGAAAUCUCUGAGCUUAACUCAGAACGGCCAAGUGAUACUGCAGUGCUAGAGUGCAGAAGGGGCAAUCGGAAUUCUUGGUGUAGCGGUGAAAUGCGUAGAUAUCAAGAGGAACACCUGAGGUGAAGACGGGUUGCUAGGCUGACACUGACGCUGAGGCGCGAAAGCUAGGGGAGCAAACAGG